AUUUCUCAAAAUCCUUUUUCUUUGGAAGGAUUUUGGACUUGGAGGAUCAAUGCUCACUUCUCACCUUUCUGAAAGUGAGCUCCUCUUAAAUAAAUUAGCAGGGUUUGCUUUGCUAAUCCUUGACGUGAUAAGGUGAUUCUACGUUUUGGAUUUGGCACUGUCCUUUUAGACACCUGCUUCCAACUGUCUUAUGGACAAUGAUGGGUGUUCCAGUCACUGCUUGCCUGGACCCACGAGAAAAA
rnacentral:misc_RNA from 1 species